rnacentral:rRNA from 1 species
UACGGGGGGGGCAAGCGGUUGUUCGGAAUUACUGGGCGUAAAGGGCGCGUAGGCGGCUCAAUCAGUCGGGCGUGAAAGCUCUGGGCUUAACCCAGAAAGGUCGUUCGAUACUGUUGGGCUAGAGUGUGGAAGAGGCUACUGGAAUUCCGGUGUGUAGCGGUGAAAUGCGUAGAUAUACGGGAGGAACACCUGCGGCGAAGGCGGGUAGCUGGGCCAACACUGACGCUGAUGCGCGAAAGCUAGGGGGAGCAAACGGG